rnacentral:misc_RNA from 1 species
AAGUCGUAACAAGGUCUCCGUAGGUGAACCUGCGGAGGGAUCAUUAAUGAAUGACCCUCAUGGGGUCAUCAAGCCCCUUAAAGAAUGUGGAGCGCAGAUGUGCUUCGACGCCUUGAUGGCGUCGCUUCUAUGCCCUUUAGCCUGCCGUCUGAUUUGUUGUCGAUGAUUAAAACUUUCAACAAAGGAUCUCUUGGCUCUU